AUCGCUUCUCGGCUUUUUGGCUAAGAUCAAGUGUAGUAUCUAUAUAUCAUAUCCCUAUUCAUCUAUCUAUCCAUC
ensembl:snRNA U2 U2 spliceosomal RNA